rnacentral:rRNA from 1 species
CGCGGUAAUACGAGGGGGCGAGCGUUAUUCGCACAAACUGGGCGUAAAGUGUCUUUAGGCGGAUCUUCGUGUGUUAGCAGCUUAAGUAUAGAACGUUAUUCUAUAAUGUUUGCUAAGACUGUUUUUCUUGAGUUUUAGAGGGGUUAGUAGUAUUUCUUCAAGAGGGUUAAAAUUCUUGGAAAGAAGAAGGAGUGUCAUGGGUGAAGACAACUAACUAGCUAAAACUGACGCCAAAGGACUAAAGCGUAGGGAGCGAUCGGGAUUAGAAACCCCGGUAGUCUACGCCUUGACUUAUGAAAGUGAAACGUUGGAAAAAUUUCCAGUGUUAAAGCUAACGCGUGUAGCUUUCCGCCUGAGGAGUACGGUCGCAAGAUCGAAACUCAAAGGAAUUGACGGGGGUCUUUUAAAAACGGUGGAACAUGUGGUUUAAUUUGAUAAUCCGCGCAUAACCUUACCAGUUUCGACCAGGUGUUGCAUGGCUGUCGUCAGCCCGUGUCGUGAGACGUGAUGCGAAAGCACGUAACGGGCGUAACCCUUGCUUGUAAUUGCUAAAUUUAAAAAUAGUACUUUACAGGACAUUCUUAAAUUACUGCCUAAGUUUACAUAUUUUUGUAACUUGUUUUGUAAUUUGAGAAGGAAGUGGGGAUGAGGUCAAGUCGUCAUGGCCUUUAUAAACUGGGCUACUCAUGUGUUACAAUGGUUGUGCCAAAGAGUUGCAAAGGUGUGAGCCGAAGCAAAUCUCAAAAAAGCAACCUUAGUUCGAAUUGUAGGCUGAAAUUCGCCUACAUGAAGUCGGAAUCGUUAGUAAUCGUAGAUCAGCACGCUACGGUGAAUAUUUUGGGGCCUUGUACACACCGCCCGUCACGUCAGGGGAGUGAGAUCGGCUAGAAGUG